rnacentral:rRNA from 1 species
UACGUAGGCAGCGAGCGUUGUUCGGAAUUACUGGGCGUAAAGAGUGUGUAGGCGGUGCUCCCAGUCUGUUGUGAAAUCUCCCGGCUUAACUGGGAGGGUGCAGCGGAAACUAGAGUGCUAGAGGGUGGGAGAGGUAAGCGGAAUUCCUGGUGUAGCGGUGAAAUGCGUAGAUAUCAGGAGGAACACCUGUGGUGUAGACAGCUUACUGGACCACUUCUGACGUGAGACACGAAAGCGUGGGUAGCAAACAG